CUGAAACAAAAAGGUUCACUACAAAGCGAAGUACAUGGGUGCCUCAGACAGGUACUCCUAAAAUAAAUAAUAAUAAAGCUUUAAACUGGCGGGGUCCUCCUCAGGCAGAUGCUAAAAAGAGGGGGGGCCGUCACCCAGAACACCAGCAGCAGUCAGGACCAGGGAGAGCAAGAGGAGUCAACCUCAACGCAAAUGAACCAACAGGUGAGUAGACUUAACUACCACUUAAAUAAUUGAAAACUUGAUAACUCAGGAUCCAAUUAUUCUCAGUUGGGUUGCGGGAUACUCAACCCCUUUGUGUGAUAAACCACACCAGAGUUUAACUCAAGAUCCAAUUAUUCUCGGUUGGGUUGCAGGAUAUUCAAUCCUUUUGCAUAGUAAACCAUACCAGAGUUGUACUCAAAAUGAUAGGUUUUCUGAACUAGAAUCUUUACAGAUCACCGCAGAAAUUAACCAGUUAAGUACUUGCUAUGAAAGCAAUACAAACUUGCAAACCUGUAAAAAGAUUCAUUGUGUUCACCUAUUUUCCUUGUUAAAAAGAGCAAUGGAACUUUUCGUUUUGUUCUAAGUUUAAAGAAUUUAAAUAAUUUUGUUGAAACUGAGUAUUUCAAAUUGGAAAAUACCGAACAGUGUGCAAGUUUUUACAAAAAGAUGAUGUUCUUGUCAUCUUAUAUCUGAAAUAUACUUGUUAUAUGAUAAGUAUCAACAAGGAUAGUGAGAAAUAUUUAAGAUUUAUUUUUAAGGAAAACACUAUCAGUUAAAUACUUAUGUUUUAUUCUUGGGCCUUUGUACGGCUCCAUCAACAUUCACAAAAAUCAUGAACCAAUGAUGGUUUUCUUAAGAGAAAGAGGUUGUAUAUCAGUUAUCUAUUUAGAUGACUUUUUGUUUUUUUAAGUAUAUGAAACAACUAUGUUAUUAUGUUACAUAAACAAAAUUGUUAUAACAACAGUGUAUACAAAACAUACAAGCAACUGUGAAUUUACUAAAAACAUUAGGAUUUAUAGUUAGCCGAGCAAAGAGAAUAGUUAAGUGUGAUGUUACAACUGUAACUUUUAUUGUUACUAUACAAUACUAUAGAUAUGACUCUUAACAUUACUGAAAAGGAAAGAAAUAUAUUCUUUUAUUGUUUUUUCCAAGCUUAUAAAAUAAUUACUGUAUAAAAUUAUGAUUAAAGUUAGAAUUUAGGCUAAUUAAAGAGUCUAGGGCUCACAUAAAUUCACUGGAAUUAAUAGCUGCCUUUUUUGUUUUAAAAAUGUUUGCUUAUAAAUGAAGAAAUAGUGAUAAUAUUAUUGCUGUAACCUAUAUGUAUAAAUAGAUUAGGAGGAAUUUAAUAUAAUUUUUUACAUAGGAUUUCUAAGAAUAUUUGGCAAAGGUGUGAAUUUUAAAAGACUAUUGUUUGAUGCUAAUUACAUAAACACUAAAGAUAGUGUGAUAGCUUUUUUGAGUCUAGAAGGAAGAUAGGAAGAUAGACAUUACAAAAUGGGAACUGAGCAAUAUAAACAAUCCAAAGGUUAUUGAUAUAUACUAAUGCAAGGUGUUGCACUUAUAUGUCAUGGCAACCAGACCUAGGAGCUGUUGCAGUUGAUGCUUUCACCAUUCCUUGGACUAAAUACAGCUUAUUUUAUUUAUUAUUUCUCCUCCAUUCUCUAUGGUUCUUAAAACCCUAGAAAAUAAAUUACAGACAAAGCAACAGGUAUAAUAGUUGUGCCCCAUUGGGUCACUCAGUGGUUAUUGUUAAUGUUAAUAGAUUAUUGUUAAAGGAACCUGUUAUAUUUUUACCUUCUAAGUCCUUAUCUUGCAUAAUUCCAGAUUGUUACACCCCUUUUAUAAGAAAGUGGUAUUGAUGGUAGAAGCAUUAUCAGGAAAACAUAGAGUUAGGAAUUUGUGAUGAAGCAGUUCUUGUCUUGAUGAAUUCAAUAUCUAAAGAUACUUUGAAUCAUGCAAAUCAUGCAUGCAUGUGCAUUAGUAUCAUAGGCUAAGUAUUUAAAUCCAUAAAUAUAAACAUUACUAAGCCUACCAUUACUGAAGUUAUUUCAGUACCGUACUUUGUGAUUCAAUGAAAGAGUUACAGUUAGUAACAUAUGGUAAUUUGAAUUCCGUAAGAUUAGCUCUAUCAUUAGUUAUAGGACCACAUUUGGAUACCGAUCAUUAGAUCAAAAGAUUGUUCAAGGGAUUUUUUUAAAUUAAGACCCCCAAACCCAAAUAUAAUAAUACUUGGGAUAUGUCUUUGUACUUGAUUAUAUUGAAAAGAAUUAUACUCUAGAGAAAGAAUUAUCUGCAGAUUGUUACCAAGAAAACCUUAUUAACGUUGGCCACGGGUUAAAGGGCUCAAACAGUAGCCCUGAUUAAUAUUAUUAAUAUAAUGAUUAAACAAGACUGUAUUAAUCAAUUCAUCAAUCUAUUUGUAAAAGAUAGAUUGAUCAAGACUUUAGGACCAAACAGGGUCAACUUUUUAUAACUGAUCCUUUUCUUUAAUGCUAGGAAAGGAGUAUGUCCAGCCACUGCGGUGGUCAACAAUUUAAAAGUUACAAAGGGUUUACGUGAUUUUAAAAGUACUAGCUUAUUUGUAUCUACAAAGGAGCCAUAUAAAGCUGUGUGCUUCAGUACAAUCAGCCGUUGGGUCAAAAGAGCCAUGGAAGAGAGUGGAAUUGACACUAGUGUA